AAAUGAUACUCUGAUAUAAAAUGUUUAGAAUUCUUCUCAUUACAAACUUUUUCACAGAUAAUAGUAAUAGCUGUUUCCCAAGAUGACCAAAUUUCCCUUUUGCAUAAUACUAUUAUUUUCCCCAUGUUCACCAAAUAAUCAAGACUCACAAAUACUACUGAUGUACAAUCAUUUUUCCAGUUUUCUUCCAUUCAAGAUCACAAUGACACCAGAUGUGGUGGUAAACAAACUGCAAUGGUGGAUCAAAGUUUUGUCCUUCUACUUGUGACUAACGUUUAAAAAAAAAACACCUCUUUUACUUUUUUUUUCCAAGUAACUCCACCCUUUGAGACUACUUUUCUUCAAAAUACUUCAGCAUCACGUAGAAUGAGGUUGAAACCAUCACGUGAAUGUUGGCUCCAACUUGGUAAAAUAUACGUUGGCAUAUUCACAAACACAUAGAGUCUAGGUUUUUUGCCCCCACUUUCCCCCAUUUGUCUACGUAUCCAAAACAACUAAACCAUAAAAGCAAAUUACAAAAUUACAAUGAGCAUUUAUUUGACUAGAAACUGCAUAUUGACACUAGAUUUUUCAUAUACAAAUUCCACGAUUUACUCAAUGAUUAUCACCACUGUAUUGUGUUUGUCUCGAUUUUUGCCUUCUCCCACCAGCCCCUCAUGGAGACAUUAUGCAACUAAAAACCACAAUGCAGAGCAAUGCAACACUCACAAAUCCACACAGACGGAAGGCAAAUCAAGCUUUAAGAAAAGCCAAGAUACUGAAGAUAUAAAGUAUAUUUAAAUAAAUAAACAAAUACGAAAAGUCCUAAAAGUGCAAAUUUCAAACAUAUAAACCCUGAGAAUGGCAAUUUCAAAUAAACAAACAUAAUAAUGAUCAUGCAGAAACAAUGUAAAAGAAUUUUACAGUGCAAAAUCAGACAUCGUCUUUCAUUUUUAUUUUUUUUUAAAACAAAACACUCCAAAGAUAAGAAUUCAAAUAAAACCCUGAAAGUGAAAUCUUCAAAUAAAACAAAUAAACAAGCCCAGAAUGUGAUAAAAUUGGAAUUCUCAUACAAGAAGAAAAAUAUCCGCAAACAAAAAAAAUAAAAAAUAAAUGGAAUAUUCGAAUAGAGAGACUCAAGAGACACGCCAAACCUAUAACAUCAGCAAAGAUUUAUUCUUACUAAAAUUUUUAAAAAAAAAAAUAUAUAUAUAUAUAUAUAUAUAUAUAUACACACACACAAAUAUACACACACGAAAGAAUGAAUGGAGAUCUGGAACCUUCAGAUUAUCAUCACGAGGCCGAAGGGUACAAGCGGUGGCGCGUGGAGAAAGGGAGCGAGAGAAGGCGAGCAGCAAGGAAAGUGAGUAAGAAUAUUCAGAUUGAAAACUAAAUAGAAACAUCAUAGAAUGGCGAAUGAAAACCCCUUUGUUCGUUUCUAUCAGGUUGCGUUUCAGUGUCCACAUGUUUCUUCCUUCCUUCCAUGGCGCCGCUUCCAGCACUCUCUUCACCCCCUCUCUCCCGAACCUCUUCCUUGCAACAACCCUCCCUUCUACCCUUCUUCUAUAACCGUAUUUAUAUCCCUACCUUUCAUCACAUUAUUUUUUCUAAUUACAAUGAUGUAUUAAAAAAGUAUUUUGCAAAAUUUGUUACUUCAUUAUAUUUAUUUUUUAUAUGUUUCAAUUAUUUAAUCUUAUAUUGCUUUUAAA
rnacentral:lncRNA from 1 species